UUUGGUGGCUUGAAGCUAUUGUUCUUGCAUUAAAGAGGAAACCUCAUGAUACCAAUGUUUGCUGUGGUGUUAUGAUGGAAAAAAGAGAGCCUAGAAAUGCACUUGCAUCUAGCAGAAAGCAUUGUCUGGAUUCUGAUCUUGGUCUUUAAGAACUUUGUUUCUUCGAUAUUACAUCAAUUUCAAAGUUGUUGCUUCAUUAAAUUGGAAAGCCAGAGGAAGAAGUAAAUCCCCCUCCAAUAAAUUCACCCCAACUACCUGUUCACCAACUAACUUCUUCUCUUAAAUCUGAGCACUGCAGCUGACUGAAGUUUGGGCACAACUGCAGCAGAACAAUGAAUCCAGUGUCAGUUGAAGUCAGGGUUGCAGUGCUGAUUUUAUGGAAUUUACAUCAAAUAGAAAUCAUUUAAAGGAAGCCAAUUUACGAAGAUUCCACAGAGCAAAAUUCAGAGCUCAGAAGAUAAUAUGAACUCCAUUACCAGAUAGGAAGACUUGCAGUGAUUAUUCCUGGGAGGAACUCUCUUUUUAAGCUCCCAACAGUGAGUUAAGAGCACAAACAGCAAAAGGUAAACACAAAGAAAGAAAGAAGAAGAAGAAGAAGAA